UGAGAAAGAUGCACAAAUGUGUAUAUAUCAUGUUUCCUGGAAAUCUUUCUGUUGUGAAAUUGAUGAAGAAUCUACAAGCAAUCUGGCAAGUGUUCCUGGUGUUUUAUCUUUUUAGCCAGACAAGAGUUAUGACUCAGAUAAUAAAAACUAUGGAGAGCAAGGAAGUAGAAGAUAAGUGCAUAAUGGUGACAGGUGACUUUUUUCUCUGUCUGCAAAGUGAAGGGGAGUUGGCAAGAUUGUGACUUUUUCUUCAAACAUACAAAUUUACUGAAGUUUGAUGGUGGUAGAAAAGGGCGUAAACGAGUAAGGAGAAAGCAGAAGGAAAUGAGCCAAAGAAAUAUUCAGCUGAGAGCAUUUUAGGAUCUUCAAAAGUU